rnacentral:rRNA from 1 species
AUUGAACGCUGGCGGCAUGCUUUACACAUGCAAGUCGAACGGUAACAGGGUGCUUGCACCGCUGACGAGUGGCGAACGGGUGAGUAAUGCGUCGGAACGUGCCGAGUAGUGGGGGAUAACGCAGCGAAAGUCGUGCUAAUACCGCAUACGUACUGAGGUAGAAAGUGGGGGACCUUCGGGCCUCACGCUAUUCGAGCGGCCGACGUCUGAUUAGCUAGUAGGUGAGGUAAAGGCUCACCUAGGCGACGAUCAGUAGCGGGUCUGAGAGGAUGAUCCGCCACACUGGGACUGAGACACGGCCCAGACUCCUACGGGAGGCAGCAGUGGGGAAUUUUGGACAAUGGGCGAAAGCCUGAUCCAGCCAUGCCGCGUGUCUGAAGAAGGCCUUCGGGUUGUAAGGAACUUUUGUCAGGGAGGAAAUCCCUAGUGCUAAUAACACUGGGGGAUGACAGUACCUGAAGAAUAAGCACCGGCUAACUACGUGCCAGCAGCCGCUGUAA